UUAUAGCCAAGUCGUAGGCAUUUAGUUUGAAUUCUCUUAAUUUCCCCAACUAAAUGAUAGAAAAGAAAGACUGCAUCCAUUUCUAGGUUUAUAACUUGAAAACAUGCUUACAGUGUUCUUUGGUCAAGCUUGCAAAGCCGAGGCCAUAGAUACUUCUGGAUUGACUCCAGCACUGGGUACCUGGGAGGAGCAGCAAGAAAAGCUUCAAAGAUUGAUUUUACUAUUCCGUGGCAAUGACGUGCGUUCUGUAGAGGCUUGUCAUACUCACAAUUCUAGAAGAUGCAACUGUAGGGAUUCUGGUAGCGGUUGAAGGGGUACCCAUCCCAGUCGGACAGCUAUACGUCCAACAUUUGUGUCAACCUGUUAAAGGUAUGCAGCCUCCACUGAGACGACCCCUCAUAGAGCUGGACUCCAAUUCAACUUGAUAGCUAGAGCCAGAAUCGAACAGGUCGCUUG